AGACGGCCAUCCCCCAGGCCCAGCCUUGCCCACAAGAUUCCCAGAUUUCACAACUGGGGCUGGCGCUGAAUCAUGUACAGUCACGGAGGCUGAGAUGGCUGACGGGGUAGGUGGCUGUGGCCUGAUGUGUCACUUUUGGCCUCAAACUGAGGCAAUGGGGACGAAGUGGCUGCGAGGCGCAGUAUCUGGCAUAUGUGUGAGAAACAACCACAGUGCCCUGGGGAGGGGCCACGUCCUCACCCCGCACCGCCAGGGUCUCAGCGUGUCUCCCAAAGGUCAUGUGGGCCUUUAAGAGGUGGUUGGGUCCUGAGAGCUCUGCCCUUAUGAAUGGAUUAGUAUCAUUAUUGCAGGAGUGGCUUCAUGAUGGAGAGAGUGGAUUUGUCAUGAAAGUGAGUUCGGCCAUUCCUUGCUGUCUCACGUGCCACCUCUUGCCAUGGGAUGCCCUCGCCAUGGGAUGACAGCAAGAAGGCCCUUGCUUGAGUGAGCCCCUCCAUCUUCGGCUCUCCGGCCUCCAGGACUGUUAGAAAUACAUCUCUGUUCUUUGUAAAUUACCCAGGCUGUAGUACUCUGUUAUAGCAACACAAAACAGACUAAGACACUACUAUGUAGAUGAAGAAACAGGCCCAAGAGGUGAGGAGUGUUGUCCAGGUCUUCUGGCCAGAGGAGCGGCAGAGAUGGGAUUUCAACCCUGGGACUGUGUGGCUUGUGACCACUCCUAGCUUCAGCCCUGCCCGGUGCUGAGGGGUUUGGGGCCAGAACGAUGGCCAGAUGUUUGGGCACACUGGGCCCUACCCACCUGGAAAGAGGCUGGCCUGGGGUUGAAUGAGAACCAGAAGUGACUCAGGCUAGGACCCCUCUGCACCCUCCCUCAGGCCGUGGGUAAUUACCUGCCCAGGUUAAUAGCGCCCACUUCCCGCCACCUUUCAUCAAGGCUCCUGGAGCUGCCAGGCAGUAAUUAACCCUCACAGCACCCUUCUGAAGUCAGCACUGGAGGCAGACGUGUGAUGAAACACGUUUAUUACAGGAAGCACCAGUUAGCCCAGAUGCUUCUCAUCUUUGGAGUUGAGCUGCAGGCUGGAGACCUGGAAGGCCCUCGCAGCGCCUGCUCCCAUCCUCUCACCUCACGAAAGCGCAGGAAUGUGGGUUUGGAGCCAAUGAAAAGUACUGGAAUCUGGCUCUGCUCUGUGACCCUGGACAAGUCACUGCCCCUCUCUGGGCUUCAGUUUCCUCCUUGGUAACACAGAAUGAUUAUACCUACCCCUUGGGUUUGUUGACCUGAAUCUACCCCUCAGUCAUUGCCUUUCCUUCUUGCUGCAGCCACACUGGCCCCUUGACAGUUCCUUGAACACAACAAGCCCUUUCCCACCUCAGGGCCUUUGCAUGUGCAGUGCCAGAUGCCUGGAAUGUCCUUCCUUCCAAUCUCCCCAUGGCCGGCUCAUUCUCAUCUUUCUUGGCUCAAAUGUUACCUCCCCAACCUAGACAGCACCGCUGCCACCUCUUCACCCCGUCUUACUCUUCUUCAAGCACUUCUGGAGGUAUCUUGCUAUUUAUCUUGUUUAUAUCUUUUUCAGCUCCAUGAGGGCAGGGGAUUUUGUCUGUUUCAUUCACAAUGUGUUCCCAGAGCUCAGCACAGUGUCAGGCACACACUAGAAGUGCUGGAACGUUCCUGGGAUCUAGGGAGCUGACUCCAGUCCUGGAAGCUGUCCCAGAAUUCUGGAAUGUUGGAAUUCAAACGGCCUCCUGCCCAUUUUCCGGAGGAGGAACAUAAGACCCAGAGAGGGGAAGGGGUUGGCCUGAGGUCAUACAAUGUGCAGAGACGAGCUAGAGUUUGCUGGGAGAAGGUGCGGGUGUGUGGACAAGUCAGCAUCUAUCUCCCAUUUUCAGGGUUGGCCAUGAUUUGUGAAGGAGAUGCCAUUUUCCAUUGGAUGGACAGUGAGCAAGUGAACGCUUAGAGAAGAAGAGGACAAAACAAGGGAAAAGCCUGCCUGACAGGAAGCAGCACAGAGCUGGACAGGCUUUGAACUCCUGGAUCCCACUGUACCUGAAAUUAGGCACCUUCAACUUUCUAGUUAUGUGAGCCACUGUCUUUCCCAUUUUUGGCUGAAAACAGUUGGGACUGGCUUUCUGUCCCUUGCAUACAGAAGGUGCUGACUGACCCCUGCCCCAUGGAAGAAGAUACUCCAGGCAGAGGAAAUAGUGUGUAUAGACACCCCUAAGCGAAUGCCAAGCGGGGCACUCAUGUACCAAGAAGAAGGAGGAGGAGGCACCUGGGAGCUGAGCUUAAGAGUUAGUCGGGUGGUCAAGGUGGGAGAAGGGGGUAUCUUUAGCAGAGGGAACAACCAUUGCAAAAGCUUGGAGGGGUGACUAGUUAGUGAAGAUCAACUGUGUGCUGAGCUCGUGUUGGGUGGCAAGGGACACAGACGAAAAGGGCACGGUGGAACCCAGCUACUUCUCACCUGCUCCAGCGCAGUGCAGGCUUGUCUGCUUUUGGAGCCGAGCCUGGACACCUCCGUGUCCUUCCCCCGGCAGAGUGCUGCCAGCACGCUGUCUCAGACUCUCCAGCAUCUCCUGGUUGAUGUGCAUCAUGGGGACCACACAAGAUUAUUUUAUAGGCUGCACAGGCAAAGCAUAAAAUCACCUCGGGUCACAUAGCGAGAGUUAUUCUCUCUGCAAAUUCUUUACAGUCUUUCCUUUAUAUCCAGAAGAGUCUCUGUGUGGUGCUAACUUGCCUCGAAGACCAAAUAAUUGCUAGUCUCCCUUUGUGAAAAGGAGAGCAGGUGUCAGGCUCAUUCAUGUCUCAGGCACACAAUUGUAUCUAGCUAGACUUUUCAAAAUGUCCUAUAGAGCUGCAGCACAUAUGAAUGAGGUGUCCAGCUGGUCCCAAACCUGUAAUCGGCACCCCAGUGAGCAGACUGGACAUCCCCACCCCCACAGCUGCCCUUUCUCCCCUCCACUCAUGUUCCCUCUAGGGCCACCACGAUCCCGACUUGUAUCACCACAGAUGAGUUUCACAUGUUUUUGAAUUUUACAUCUUAUCUGUUUUCUGUUCCUAUACAAGUUUGCCUUUUUUGAAUUCCAUAUAAGUGGGAUUCUACAAUGUGUUAUCUCAAUUUGAGUCUGUUUUUUUUUUCCUGCUCAGCAUGAUGUUUUUGAGAUGCAUAUAUGCGGUUUUGUGUAUCUGUAGAUGGUUCUUUUUUAUUGCAGAAUAAUGUUCCAGGGUAUGGAUGUACCAAAGCUUGUUCAUCCAUUCACCAGCUGAGGGAUAUUUGGACUGUUUCCAGUUUUCAGCCAUUAUAAAUAAAGCCACUAGAAACAUUUGCAAACAGGUUUUUAUGUGAACAUAAAUUUUUGUUUAUCUUGGGUAAAUUUCUAGGAGUGGAAUUGCUGGGCCAGGUGGCCAAGUGUAUGUUUCACUUUAUCAGAAACCGCUGAGCUGUUUUCCAAGGUGUCUGUACCAUUUUUCAUCCCUACCAGCAAUGUAUGAAAGUGUCAGUUGCUUCGUAUUCUCACCAGCACUUGGUGGUGUUAGUUUUUUGUGUGUGUACAUGUGUUUUACUUUUAGUCAUUCAAAUAGGUGAUAAUAGUAUCUCAUUGUGGUGUUAGUUUGCAUUUCCCUAAUGACUAAUGAUGUUGAACAUCUUUGUAUGUGUUUCUUUGCCAUCCGUAUAUUUUCUUUGGUGUAGUAUCUGUUCAAACUUUAUGUCAGUUAAAAAAAAAGACCCAAUUGUUUUCUUCUUAAUAGAUUUGGAGAGUUCUUUAUAUAUAUUCUGGAUACUAGUCAAGCCUUUGUGAAAUAUGUGAUUUGCAAAUAUUUUCUCCUGUUCUGUGGCUUGUCUUUUUAUUCUUUCAAUAGGUAGACUUUAAUAACAUCGUUUUGUUUUCUUUUUAAGUAUUUUUCUGGUUAUCUUUGAUUUGUGGCAUGUAUUCUUUGGUUUUUCAAUUUUAGUGAUAACACCAAAUGUUUUCUUUUAAAAUGAAUUUAUUUAAGUAAAAACGUCAGUAAAUUUGAAGAAACACAUUAAAUAAGGAAUAGUAGAAGUGGACAGUAGACAGCAUAAAAAUCGUGAAGGCAGUUUCCAAUUUGCAUAACCAAAGUGUGGGCAGCUCCGAUUCGUUCGUCAACAAAUACUGAUGGAGCCCCCACUGUCCACCAGGCUCUGAGCCAGGUGCUGGGGACACAGCACCAAGCGAGAUAGUUGUUUGCUCUUUUAAUGCUGGUUUUUCUCCAGUGAGUCUCUCUUCAUCUUUCAAAAGCCAAUUUGAAUGACCCUUCCUUCAUCCAGACCUUCCCUGGAAUGUUUGUCACACUCUACUGCAAAUUUCUAUUUCUGUAUCUCCCAGGCAAGGGGCAUGUCGGGCAGCCUCUGGUAGGGUUGUAGAGAGCUUGGUGCAUAGAUAUCUCAAUAAAUAGCCUCUCACAUAGUACAAGCUAUGAUGAGGUGCUGAAGACCAGUUGCUGAUUCAAUUGGUUGAAACUAGCCAGGCCUGAUGAAGGGGCCUGAGGACCUUCCCUGCUGCAGUCUGGCUGACCCCAAGCAAACCAAAGUCUCUCCCCUUGGCCUCCCCUCCCACAUAAAGAUACCAAGAGAAAAAGCCUCCCAAACCCACUGCCUUCAGCCUCUGCUAUUUGCUUCCCAUCCAGUGCCCAUGGAUGCCUUUCCUGCAAGACACAGUAUUCACACAGACACUUACCAGGCAUCUUUGUUCUGACCUGCCCCAGGACCACCACUUUCACCUUGGCCUCUUACCACCAUUCCCCUGUUCCUCCACUCCAGCACACCAGCCAGUGUUUGCCCCUCCAACAUGCCCAGCUCAUUCCCACCCCUGGGCCUUUGCACUAGCUCUUCCCUAGUUCUUUGCCUUCUCUAGCUCUCCACAUUCAGUUCUGAACUUCACUGACCCUCCUCAGAGGCUCUCUAGGCUAUGCUACCAAAGCCCUCUCUCCUCUUUUUUUUUUUUUUUUUUUUUUUUUUUUUGAGACAGGGUCUUACUCUGUCACCUAGGCUGGAGUGCAGUGGUAUAAUCAUAGCUCACUGCAGCCUCCAUCUCCCAGGCUCAAGUGAUCCUCCUGCCUCAGCCUCCUGAAUAGCUGAGACUACAGGUGUGUGCCAUCAUGCCCAGCUAUAUACAUAUAUUUUUAAAGUAGGGAUAUACUCACUCACUGAGCUCAGUAUGUAGCUCAGGCUGGUCUCAAACUCCUGAGCUCAAACAAUCCUCCCACCUCGGCCCUCCAAGUGCUAGGAUUACAGGCGUGAGCCACUGUGCUCAGACACCCCAUGUAUUUUUGAUCCCUUCAUUCUGUUUCUGUCCUUUGUAGCAUGGAAUGCUCUCAUUUCCGAGUUUAUUUGUGUGUUUGUUUGUUUCUCGCCGUGUCCCCUGUUGGAGUGGCAGUUCCAUGAGGGAUUUGGGUCUGUCCUUCUCUCUAUCUCCCCAGUGCCUAGCACAGUGUUCAGCACACAGUCGGUACUCAAUCAGAAUUUGUUGAAUCUAUGAGUGAAUGAAUGAAUGAGCUCAUGAGCUCUCCCUUCUCCAGAUGCACUCACGGCAAAGUUGAACCCAUCUAUCUGCCCAUGCGUCAGGCUAGUUGUCCUGUGGGCCCCUCCUGGGUGGGUACUGAGGGAUGCCCACUGGGUCCAGCCAGGCCUGUGUCUUGUCAGCUGCCCAGGCUAAGGGACUUUCCAUUGUCCUUGGAGUUGGCCUGUGGAAAGUUGUUCUCAGGACCUCGUGAGCCUGGGGCCAUGGAUGGGGCUAAAGGUAACUGCAAGGUAUAGGGACCCGGCGUGAAAUUCCAUCAGUUAACACUGUAAGUGAGGCUUUCCAGCUCCCUUUCGUCCUCCCUGUGAUGCCAAGGGGAGGGAGAAACUCCACGUGGGGCUUGUGUGUCUUGAGCACCUUCCUACCACCUGCUUUUUCUUCGGAAGAAACAGAGCAGAUCCCAAGUACAAGCCGUCAUCGGCAAUAGUAGCUGGCUUUGUUUCACUUUUUUGUAUAUUUCACCAAUUGUCUUCCAUUUGCAGCAAGUGCCUUAGAUUGGGUGCCUGCAAGCAGACCUUAACAGAAUAAACUGAAGGCAAGUAGCCUAUUUGGGAGAUGCCUCCAGAAAGCACUGGUAGGGAAGUGAGAUCAGGGAGGAAGGGCUGCCAAUCUCAAGAGCGCUACCAAGCCAGUAACCACUUAGGCAGCUGGGGCUCGGUCCUGCUGUGGCACGCUGGGAGCCCAUGUAGUAACGGAGUUAGCCCCCCAGGGGCGGAGAUCGGGUGGUCAGGGAGCUGGGGAAGGGACAUGUCAGCUCCUGCCUAUCAUUGCUUGACAGCUGCCGCUUGGAGUGUUAGUUCCCAGCACAUCCAGCCUGCCCCAUGAGCAAAGCUCACAGGUGAAGGGGACAGGUGCUGCAGGUGGAAUCCUGUCUGUGUUCACCGGAGAAAAGGGAGAGGAGGUAUGGGCAGGGCACAGACAACAAAGGCCUCACAGUCAACACUGGUUCCUCAUUUAAAGCCAGGAUAAAAUGAGUUCAUUUAAAAUUAAGUUUUCGCAAACAUUUAAAAAGCGAAUUGAUGGAAAGAGUAGGUAAUACCUGCAGGUGAAAUGUGAACAUGGCAAAUGCUGCUAUUUUUCAAGGCGUCCAAAGCCUUUAAUAGGCAAACAGUGUUCUUCACGACCCACAAGAAUGGCGUGUUUGGGGCGGUGAAAACACUCUCCCUUUCCUCCCAGCAUGCCAGGCUCAUGCUCACUCCUAACACUGCCCAGGACCCCUGGGAGUCCUGGAAAUGGGCCAUGAGGCUUGGAGGCAGAAGCCCUGUGUGACUUGGGGUUUGUCCCUUAACAUCUCUGGGCCUGUCUGUUAAAAGGGGAUGUUCUCAAGUCACAUAAAAGAGUAAAUGUGCAAAAAUAGUCAAAGCAAUGCUGAAAGAAGAACUAAGAGAGAGGACUUGUCCGUCCAGACAUUAGAAUAUAUGACAAAGGCAUAGAAAUAAAACAGUUUGGUAUUGGCAUCUAAGUGGACAAAUACAUCACGGGAACAGAAUAGCAUCCAGGAAUUAACCCGGCUAUCACCUGGCCUACCUCCACUCAUAGAUGUGAAAGGAUUUAGAAAAGGGAAGAGAUUGGCAGGCAUGGGAUUCUCUGGAUUAUGUUAUGUCUGGGCUGGUGAAGAAGCUUCCAACAGGCUCCCCAUCUGCAGCCCUCCCCUCUAACCUACCAGCCAUGGCACCAGGGACACUCACUGUCAUGAGCUGCACUCACCCCCGCUCUGCUCUGGAAAUAUCAGAGCCUCCCACGCAAGAUGGGUUAGACCACAGUUGUCACCAUUCCUCCUUUUGCACUUCUCUUUGAUUCUUCUGAUUAACCCAAGGAGAAAGUCUCAGGCGGGCGCGGCUGGACUUGAAUACCUCUCCCACGUUUGCUCGUCUCCCUUUAUGAGGCAGAGCUGGCCUUAAGCUCAGGGCCUUCAGCAGGCAGGAGAAUGGAGCAAGAAUUUGGUAACGUUCUUUUGUGAUUGUUGUUUUAAGGUUACUUUCUCUUUACAGAAAUGAAAAGUUGUUUCCUCCUUCUGAUAGUAACACAAAUUUUCCUUUUAAAAUAAUUUUUUCUAAUCCAUAUUACAAUGAGAAUGAACCUCCAAAACAUGAUGCUAAGUGAAAAAAGCCAGACACAGAGGUCUUUUUUUUUUUUUUUUUUUUUUUUUGAGACAGGUUCUUGCUCUGUUGCCCAGGCUGGAGUGCAGUGGUGUGAUCUCGGCUCAUUGCAACAUCUGCCUCCCAGGCUCAAUGAUUCUCUCACCUCAGCCUCCCCAGUAGCUGGUACUACAGGUGCGUGCCACCACACCUGGCUAAUUUUUGUAUUUUUUGUAGAGGCAGGGUCUCCCUAUUUUGCACAGGCUGGUCUCAAACUCCUGGGCUGAAGAAAUCCUUCCGCCUCAGUCUCCCAAAGUGCUGGGACUACAGGCGUGGGCCACCAUGCCUGGCCAGAAGGUCACAUAUUGUAUGAUUCCCUUUCCAGGAAAUCUCCAAAAUAGGUACAUCCAUUGAGACCAGUGAAGAAUGGUGGUUGUUAGGGGAAUGGGGAGCGGCUGCUUUAUGGUCACAGGGUCUCCUUUUGGGGUGAUGAAAAUGUUUUGUGAUUAGCUAGAGGUGAUGGUUGCAGAACACAAUGCAAAAAUGCCACCGAAAUGUUCACUUUAAAAUGCUUAAUAUGAUGCUAUGUGAACUUCGUCUCAGUAAGUUAUUUUUUUAAAAAACCAGUGGAGUAAACCAAAAAAUCAAUUUACUUAAGAAAAGGUAUGAAUGGCUUUAAAGAUGGCUUUUAAGUGACGUGUGGGAGACAGUGGCUAAGGGGAUGAUUCUCACCCAUCGUGAGCCUGGGACCAUGGAUGGGGCCAGAGGUAGCUGCAAGGUACAGGGACCCGGCGUGAAAUUCCAUCAGUUAACACUGUAGGUGAGGCUUUCCAGCUCCCUUUCGUCCUCCCUGUGAUGCCAAGGGGAGGGAGAAACUCCACGUGGGGCUUGUGUGUCUUGAACACACAUUGGCUUAUACCUUGCUCAGGCCUGGAAGGCCCUCUGCUCACUGACGGAAUCCUAUGCAUCCCUGGGAACCCAGCUCAAGCCUCACCUCUACGGGAAGCCCUUCCUGAUUACACAGGUGGUCAGGCGGGGUCAGUCCUGCAGCCCUUCAGACCCGGUUGUGAAUCCCAGUCUUGCCACUUACUAGUGGGAGGAGUCUCUUAACUUAGACAUAUUGUUUGACUAAGAGGGCCUCAGUUUCCUUAUCUGGAAAAUGGGGGCUUAUGAUAGCUCUUAUCUCACUAGGUUGAGCUCCUACAUAGAAAGUUUUAGGACAGAACCUGGGGAGAUGUAGCUGCCCUUCAUUCACACUUCAGUCUGACACUGAUCACAUCACAGUUGCAUUCCUUUUCCUCCUGUCUCCUACACUGUGGGCAAGGGCUCAGCCUUUGUGAUCUCUGUAUCAUGUUGCUGUACAGAACUCACACACAGUAGGCACCCAAGAAGGGCGGGUUGGCUGACGUGCAGAGGAACUCCCAGAAUUCCACCUCUUCUCUCACCUCCACGGUCCCCACCCUGGUCCAGACCCUGCAUGGCUUACCUGGACUAUUGUGGUCUCCUCCUCCCUGGUUUCCUGGCUUCUGUCCUGAAUCCUCCACCUCCAAUCCAUUCCCCACAUGCAGCCAGAGAGAUCCCGUGAGAAUCUAAGUCAGAUCUCGUCCCUUCUCUGCCUGGAAACUUCCCACAGCUCUCACCUUGCUUAGAGGAAAAGCCAAAGUCCUUCCCGUGGCUCAUCCACUGUGGGACAUGCCCCAGGUCCUCUCUGCUCUCUGUUCCUCCUCCCCAAGGCCUCAUCCCUACGACAGUCUCCUUGUUGUUGCUCCGACACUCCAGGCUCCACCUCAGAACCUCGCAUCUGCCGUUCUGGUUUCCUGGAGCACCCAUUACCCCACACGGCCCGCUGCUCACUUCCUCACCUCCUCCAGGCCUCUGCUCAAAUAGCACCUGCUAGGGAAGCUUCCCCCUGCUUCCCAGGUUUUGCUGGACUCCAAAGCUCUUUUCUUCCCAGAGGCAAAGCCCUUGGCUGGGGUCCUGGGCCCAGCCCGGUGACUCAGGCGGAGAAGAUGCUCCCAGGCCUCCCGCUGGAUUUGGGGCCCAGGGUCAGCCAUGGGGGUAGGCGGUACCUAGGCUGUACCUGGCGCAGAGGCCUCUGCCUGCCCCUGCCGUGGGAGGCAGCCCUGCCCUGCACACACGGGCUUCCAGGCUGCGGGUGGGAAAGCCCCACAUCCUCCUCUGCUUACCUGACUCCAGCUGACUCAGACCCCCAGCCCUGGCCAGAGGGGAGCCGCAGCUGCUCCGCCCCUUGAUGGGAAGCAGAGCUGUGGCUGUGAGGGCCUGGC
rnacentral:lncRNA from 1 species